AUCAUUAGCAUCUAAUAUAGGUAUCUGGCUAGGAUUUUUUAUUAGCUCCUACUUUAGUUCAGACCAAAAGGAUCUGACCAUUUCCCGCGCUAGACACUGUUGGUACGGAUGUACCGAAAAUGUCCGAUGAUAUCCGGAGAAUACCGAGGACAACAACAACAUGGACGGGCGACGAGACAUGGCACUGAUGUACGAGUAAUGAGAAAAUUGUUCCUGUUCUGGAGACGAGUGGGAGUCAAAUAUAGCAAUUCAAACUGUCAAUUUUACUCGAGAAUUUGAAUUCAACAAUAAUAAAAAAUGUCAGAACAACAGCAACAACAACAACAGCAGCAGCAACAACAGCCGCCUCAACAGCAGCAACAUGCACCUUCUACAGCACCUCAGCAUCAACAACCCCAACAACAAUCCAGUCAAGGACAACAACAGACACAUCCUCAACAACAACAACAACAGCAGCAACAGCAACAGCAUGUUCCUCAGCAAAACCAGCAGCACCAGCAGCCCCAGUCCUCUCAGCCUCAGGUACGGCUGGCCGUGCAACAGUCUGGCCAGCCACAGACAUCCAUGCAUUCUGUAUCGAAUAUGGGAACCUCAAAUUCUGUAGCGAUGACUUCCAUGGCAACCAAUACUAUGGCCACCAUGGUGGCAGCAGGUAUAAGAAACCCUAUUCCACAGGUUCAGGUCAUUCCUCAGAUGCACAGUCCGCCGUAUAUAUCACAGUUCCCGUACAACCAACAACAGAUCAUGCUUCAGAAUGCGGCAAUGCAGGCUGCCAUGCAGGCUAGUGCUAUGAACAUGAACUUGAACCCACAGCAACUUAACAUGAACAUGAACAUGGCUGCCAUGGCAAUGCAGCGACAGCCACAGUCUGUCAAUAACAACCUAAGCAGUCCUGGCAAUCUCCUGUCACCAAGCCCAACAACCCCAACCCAGCAAAACCCCGGAAUGAAUUUCAGCUCUGCAGUCACAUCACAAGUGUCCAACAGCAAUGUACAGUCAUCAAAUGGAAAAGGGAGUUCUAAUGGAAACAAAGGGCAGACAACUGGGAUGGGACAGAUACAACAGGCACAGGCCACAGCUUUGGUUGGAGGGAAACCUAUCAUGCCUACACAGGGCAUGCAGACUGGUGGACCUCAACCCUUGGUGCUGUCACAACUCAGUGUACUCCCGAACCCACCAGUGGCUAACACGCAGGGAUUCGUUGCUGGACAUACCAAAGGACAGUCAAUGUCUCUGAGCCAGGCUGGUCAGUCGCAGCUCAUCAACACGCAGGCACCGAUACGCUUCUCUCAACCCCAGAUUGUAUCCAGUACUGGUCAGAUAAUCUCAUCUCAUGUCCAGCCCAUGCUGGCCAAUCAGGCAGUCCUUCAGGCCAUGGCUAGUCUACAGCAACAGGGCAUUCCAUUGGCUCAUCAGCAGCUCCUCUCUGCUCCAGGCCAAUCACCGACUAUCUUAUCAGCAGGACAGUCUUUGUUCCUAAGGCCUGCCAGCCAGAUCCCAGCACAACAGGGUAUGAUGACUGCCACUGGUGUCCAGACAAUCGGACCAACGAUGAAGGGUGGUCGUAUGGAGAUGCCACAGAACUUACAGGUCAAGUCCAAUCCCGGGUCAGUGGCCUUGUCAAAGCAGGCAGCUGGGGCUCAGUCAGCAGGCAAAGCUAUCCUGCCGUCAUUGGGGAAAAGUAAUACUGCCAAAAUUCCUCCAACUCAGAUGGUUGGACAGCGGACAAAGCUAUCUAUACCAAGUCUGCCUCGUACACCAAAGGGCCGGCCACGAAACCAAAACAAGAGUACAGCAGUAACGACGGCCACAGCUGCCACAAAUACAGUGGCAUCAGCUUUAAAGGCCACAGCUGCAGCAACAAGUCAAUCAAAACCUGCCACACCCACAACUCAAGUUGUGAACCUGACCACACCAGCAAAGAGUCAGUCUGACUCAGAAUUAGAAGCUGCAAAGAAAGUCACACCACUUGAAACAUCUAGUAAUGGAAUCACAGAGGUCAGCCAGGCAGAGGUCGGACCAAAGGAACUGCCCCCUUCAGAUCCUCAUCUGGUGAACUCAACAACAGACCAAUCAGAAGACCAGAUGGAUACCAAUGAAAAAGUGGAAACAGUCGCUGUAGCACCGAUUGUGGUUGAGAAACAGCGGGCUAUUGUAAAACCCCACAUCCUCACCCACGUGAUAGAGGGCUUUAUCAUACAGGAGGGACCUGAACCGUUCCCUGUGGAGCGUUCCUCACUCCUGACAGAGUUUAUCCCACCCAAACCUGGACAGACCUUGUCGGAGGAUAAACAGGCAGACCUAGAUGGAGAAUCAUCCAUGGAAGGUGGUCACUCGUCUUUAGUCAGUAAGCCUGGGGAAAACACAAGAAGACCUUUUGUCAAGUGUGAGUUCUGCGGCAAGGAUGAACAAUCUUCGAGAUUUAAGAAAUCAAAUAGGUUUUGUUCAAUGCCAUGUGCCAAGAGGUUUAAUGUUGCCUGCUCACGGCGUAUAUCCUUGUUCAGGGUUCGGGGCCGACCACCUUCUCUGGCGACUGGUGGUAAGGUGAUUAAGAAGAAGCCAAUGUUUGGGGUGAGGAAGGGUUGGCGACAGGGUGGACGUGGAUCUCGUUUGUCCUACAAUCUCUCUGGAGAAAUGGACAUGGAUGACAACAGCCAGUUCGACCAUGCAGAACAGAGCAGUUCUCCGAGCUCAGAAAACGAGAGCAGCAUGACUCCGGACUCUCCGACAACUGUCCAGGGACAAGGGGACGGGGACUAUCAGGAUACACCCCAGUCCAACCCCGCUCGUUGGAAUGUGGUGGAAGUAUACGAGUUUAUCAAGUCCAUGCCGGGCUGUGCACCGUACGCUGAAGAGUUCCGGUCCCAGGAGAUUGACGGACAGGCACUUAUGCUCCUUAAGGAGGACCACCUAAUGACGGCCAUGAGUAUGAAACUCGGACCCGCUCUCAAGAUCUGUGCUCGCAUCAACACUCUCCGGGAUGAGGCUGUGUGAGGAAGACUCGGCAUAAUUGUGAAUUUUCAUGGAAUAGUUUUAGUUUCAGAUGGAAAACUUUGUUUCACAGAUGUUAGAUGAUUUGUGUUAUUCGUGAGAUUGUGUGAUGAUAUGUGGUAACUUUCAUCAGGUGUUUCGUGAAAAGUCUUCACCAAAUAAACAAGAGAGAUAUGACUUACAUUUUCAUUAUGUUUAGGAGGAUGUCUUAAACAAGUGCUUAGUGCUCAUACUGAAUGUGCCAUUAAAUACACUAAGGUCUACAUUGUCGUUAUGUAGACGAUUCAUCAGUUUUCAGUGAUAUUUAUUGAUAUUUCAUGUUGAACAUUGAAAGACUUCGUAUAGAAGAAUUGUUUAUAGCUUGGUGCAGAAAUGAGAAGAAAAAUAGCAAUUGGUUGUGUACACAAUAAUGAAAUCUUUGCAUAGCAAUCUCGAAACAACCAUAAAAUCUAAUGUGCAAUUAUCUUUUCCACAUAAUUUCAUAAUCUAUAUACAUAAUACAAAAUGAAGUGUCAAGUUGAUCACUACAACAGUGGAAUGUGUGGCCCUCUCUAUAGUACUAGAUAUACACCAGUGUUUCUAUAAGUGUACUAGUGGUAACAGUCAAGUUAAGUUGAAUAUUUCGGGAUGCCAUUGACUCAUUGUUUUACUCCCACUUAGUAAGGGGUGAGGUGGGAAUAUAGUAAUCAUGUUGUAUGUGUUUGUGUCAGUGUAAAAUGUGUGUAUCUCAUAACACCUGGACAUAUUUACACCAAGUUCUACACAUGAUCAAAUUUCGGUGGUCAUCAGUCAAGAUUAAAGGUUGACAGUGACACUUAGCCACUUUUAAAAAAGAAAUAUUGUUUUUACAAGAUAUCUCUUGGACAGGUUUAUUUUAUUGAUGAAGUAGAUGGGGUAUAUAUAUGUGAGCCCAGGCCCUCUCACUUUACUUUUAUUUUUUCAUGUGUUUAUAAAAUAUAGUCAAUGAUAAAAACAAGUGAGAAUGUCUAAAGAUGGCCGGUCAACAUGUGUCUUGUUAAUAUAUAUGCCGAAUUAUCAUUUAGAUUUGAAAGACGAUGCAAACGAGAGCAAAAGAGAAAUAUAUAACAUGUAACAUGCCCAAGAUAUUAGGAUUAUGUAUCUAACCAAAACAGAUUAGAUCAACUUCUGACCAAAAAAAACAAGAUAAACUUUUGUUUUUUAUGAAUUGGAUUGGCAUUGUUUUAUUAUAAUAUCUAAUUUAGUGAUUUUUAACCAUUUUGAAAAAUAUUUUUUUUAAAUAUUUUUAUAUUAGAAGUUAAUUAACAGAAAUUAUUCUGCAGGAUUGAACUUAUUUUAUCAUGGAAAACAUUUUUUUUUUAAAUGGAGUAGUAUGUUCACAACUGGAUAACUGUUUUAUAUUACUUCAUUUAAUGGAUGAUUUAUGUUCAACAGAAAGGUUUUGUUUUUUCUGGAAAAAAACUUUUUCCACGCAGGCAAGUCCUAUAUAUAUGUUUUCUCCUAACAGACCAGUCCUGUACUGUUCUCUCCUAACAGACCAAUCUGUUUUCCACGUGCACACUAAUUGUUUCGUAAAUGUUUAUAAUUCCAGAAGCGUAUGCUUAUUAUCUAUAAUGAUAAAAUUCUCUAUGUAUUGAUAACCGUCAUAACAUGUCUAUAGAUUGUGUAAAUACCAGUGUGUGGGUGUGGUACAAUGAUACUGUUAUUUCAUUGUCAACAAAAAGUUAGGCCAGUCCCCUUUCCUCAACAAUUUUUGUUCUGGCUUUAAUUAAUAUUAGAAGUACUAAGAUUUACCACCACAGUAGAAAACAAUUUUUCUUCAUGAAUUUCCAUUUCCUGAAAUAUCAUGCUGAUUAUUUGAUGUGACACACAGUGGGUGGUGACUGCACAAAGUUUAUAUAGAUCAAUCACAUAGAAUUUCGUACAAAUUGUUGAUAUAUUAUUCCUUUCUAUAGAAUAUAAAAACUUCUCUUUAAAUAGGUCUGAUUUUUCCCCAUGCCUUUUUCCUUAUCCAUAUGGACUUUUAGUUGUUAGAACGUUGGAAAUUGAAAAUUUAAGAUCCCCCGCGGUGUUGUGGAUAUUUUUUCUCUUUUCCAAAAUAGGGAUCUUCUUUUUCUGGAAAUACACUUAACCUUUCUCAAAAUUAAUAUUGACCGUUUUGUUCUCAUUUGCAUAUCCACUGUAGAAAUCAUCUAUAUUAUAAAUUCAAUGUGAAUUAUGUUCAAGAAAAAUGCAUUGAAAAGUUGCAAAUAUUGAAAAGAUGUUAAUUUAAUGAAAUUUUGAAGAAAAUUAGAAAUUCAAAAUGACAAAUUUUCAAAUUGGAAGCUUGCUCCUAAUGUUGUUUUGAUUUCAUUUUGGAAAAGUAAGGUUUGGUUCAAAAAGAAAAAGUGUGGAAAAAUUACCAUAUUGAUAUGUAUGCCCUAGUGCACUUUGUAUAUGUAGGUGUGUGUUAUUGUGACCAAUUCUAUUGCAGGUUGAUGGUGAGUGUUAAGAUUUAGCGUGACUCUACACAAAAGUGUUACAAGUUUUGAUAGUGAGGCGGCUAAUGAAUGGCUGCUGUGAGACUCAAGUGCUGUAUGUAUAUUGUGUAAUAUUAAUCUUAGCUGUAGUAAACUUUUUGUCAAGAGUCGUGAUUUCUCUAUAAAUCAAGUUUUCUCCAUUGUUUUCUUGUUAAUGUUUCAUUAACAAUUGAAGCGAUGCUGUUAUCUGGUAAUUACAUAAAAUCUCCAUAUCCUCAUUAUUUUUCCAGCAAUAUUUUAAUGUUAAAAAGGUUUGCCAUCUUGUCAUUAAAACAGAAUGACAGGACAGAGUAAUCAUGGGCAUUAAAUUCAGACUUUGUUAUUGUAAGUGAUGAAUAUUUAACGUAGUAUAAAUAGAAGACGUAAAAGAACAAAUAAGAAUUCCAAGGUUGAGGUUGUCCGAGAUAUUGCACCAUCCGUCAGAUAUAGAAUGUGAUGUUAUUUUUGUACAAAAGUGUUAACAGACUGAAGAAAUAUUCUCAUUAUGAAGUAACCUCCGACCGAAUUAUUCAAGGAGAAAUAACUAUGUACUUAAAAUAUUUACACAACGAAACGGCAUUAAACACUGAUGUGAAUAUUCA